CGCCCGCCUUGGCCUCCCAAAGUGCUGGGAUUACAGGCGUGAGCCACCGUGCCCGGUCUGGACUUACUUUAUUAUAUGUUAUAGACAUGUAAUUACAUAUUUUGUAUAGUUGACCACACAGAAACAGGCACUUAGGUCUCCGUCCCUCUAGCCAUUUCUCAACCGUCUCGACCGGCGAGUUUUCGUUGAGGCGAGGGAGCGCUCGCUCCCACAGGUUCGAGGGCUGGGCGGAGCCUUGGGAAACGGGCCCUGGUAAUCUCCGCUCAGUGAGUGGCGCUGCGAAGCUGCUUCUGCCCGGGAAGGAGGAGAGGGGCCUGGAACCGCCGAGGGAACCACCAGUUCCGACGCCCUGGGGAACUUAAAAGAGGAACCAGGUGUACAGGCAGAACAUGAAAGUGGAAAGGAGCGUGGCCACUGAAGCACAGCACCACAGGGAGGGGUUUAGUCCUCCAGAUGACUGCGAGCAGGGCUGGAUAAUGUCAGACCUCCCACUAGAGCUGGUGGAGCAGAGUGUUCUCUAACUUCCCCCAAGGAAAGGGAAACUCCCUUUCCCGGUCCGCUAAGUAACGGGUGCCUUCCCAGGCACUGGCGCUACCGCUAGACCAAGGUGUCCUCAAGCGGCCUUUAUCAGGAUGUGAUAGAGGACUUUCACUCUUAUCUUCUGCUCACUUCUCACAAUGUCCCUUCAGCUCCUGACUCUGUAUUGGCUGGUCUUUCCUCGGUUAUAAUAAUAAUACAGAGAUUAAUACUAAAAACUAAUGAUUGAUAAUAUCCAUAUAUAAUCAUCUCUAUAUCCUAUUUCUUUUUCUUUUUUUUUUUUUUUUUGACAUGGAGUUUCACUCUGUCGCCCAGGCUGGAGUGCAGUGGCGUGAUCUCAGCUCACUGCAAGCUCCACCUCCUGGAUUCAUACCAUUCUCUCGCCUCAGCCUCCUGAGUAGCUGGGACUACAGGCGCCUGCCACCAUGCCUAGCUAAUUUUUUGUUUUUGUAUUUUUAGUAGAGACAGGGUUUCACCCUGUUAGCCAGGAUGGUCUCAAUCUCCUGACCUCGUGAUCCGCCCACCUUGGCCUCCCAAAGUGCUGGGAGCCACUGCAUCCAGCUCUAUUUCCUACUUCUAAUAUAACUUUUCUUAUUCUAACUAUUUUCUUUACUAUAUUGGAACAGGUUGUGCCCUCAGUCUCUUGCCUCAGCACCUGGGUAGGUUUCCGCCUACAUGUAACCAGUGACUUCAAAUAUUCUGUUUUAUCUAAGAAGUACAACGAAGGUCAUGAGAAGCCUGAGUAGGCCUGAACUACAGCUGCCUGGGCACCAUAGUGAAGGUUAUAGGAUAAGCCCAUGCCCAGACAAACCUAGAUAACGGACAUCUGGGUUACUUGGCAACAGUCAUGUGCAAUCCUGUCUUUGUCCUGCCUCUGUAUUGCUGCUUUUCACACCACUGUAAGCUUGCUUCAAGCUAGCCCACCACCUUCUGUGAAGUAUGUAUAAAAGUCAGAUGCUGUCUUUGUUCCGGGCCCAGUCUUUUGGACGUUGAGUCAGCUGGGCCUGAGUGCACUCAAUAAAGAUUCUAGUUUCAACCUGA